ACACCAGACUCCUACGGGAGGCAGCAGUGAGGAAUAUUGGUCAAUGGACGAGAGUCUGAGCCAGCCAAGUAGCGUGAAGGAUGACUGCCCUAUGGGUUGUAAACUUCUUUUAUAAAGGAAUAAAACGAGGCACGUGUGCCUUUUUGCAUGUACUUUAUGAAUAAGGAUCGGCUAACUCCGUGCCAGCAGCCGCGGUAAUACGGAGGAUCCGAGCGUUAUCCGGAUUUAUUGGGUUUAAAGGGUGCGUAGGCGGGCUGUUAAGUCAGCGGUAAAAGCCCGGGGCUCAACCCCGGCGAGCCGUUGAAACUGGCUGUCUUGAGAUGUCGAGAGGUAUGCGGAAUGCGCAGUGUAGCGGUGAAAUGCUUAGAUAUUGCGCAGAACUCCGAUUGCGAAGGCAGCAUACCGGCGGCGAUCUGACGCUGAGGCACGAAAGCGUGGGUAUCGAACAGGAUUAGAUACCCCGGUAAU
rnacentral:rRNA from 1 species